rnacentral:tRNA from 1 species
GGUAGUAUGGCUGAGUAUAGGCUAUAAAUUGUAAAUUUAUCUAGGAAUUUAAAAAUUCUACUACCA